rnacentral:rRNA from 1 species
GACGAACGCUGGCGGCGUACUUAAUGCAUGCAAGUCGAGCGGGGUCCAUUCAGUGGCAACACUGAUGAGGACCUAGCGGCGAACGGGUGCGUAACACGUGAGCAACCUGCCCCGAAGUCUGGGAUAACACCGGGAAACCAGUGCUAAUACCGGAUGUCCCCCACCGGACCGCAUGGCCUGGUGAGGAAAGAUUUAUCGCUUCGGGAGGGACUCGCGGGCUAUCAGCUGUUGGUGGGGUAACGGCCUACCAAGGCAUCGACGGCUAGCUGGUCUGAGAGGACGACCAGCCACACUGGGACUGAGACACGGCCCAGACUCCUACGGGAGGCAGCAGCAGGGAAUAUUGCGCAAUGGGCGAAAGCCUGACGCAGUAACGCCGCGUGGGGGAUGAAGGCCUUC